rnacentral:rRNA from 1 species
AUUGAACGCUGGCGGCAUGCCUUACACAUGCAAGUCGAACGGUAACAGGCCGCAAGGUGCUGACGAGUGGCGAACGGGUGAGUAAUGCAUCGGAACGUGCCCAGUAGUGGGGGAUAGCCCGGCGAAAGCCGGAUUAAUACCGCAUACGACCUGAGGGUGAAAGGGGGGGAUCGCAAGACCUCUCGCUAUUGGAGCGGCCGAUGUCAGAUUAGCUAGUUGGUGGGGUAAAGGCCUACCAAGGCAACGAUCUGUAGUUGGUCUGAGAGGACGACCAGCCACACUGGGACUGAGACACGGCCCAGACUCCUAAGGGAGGCAGCAGUGGGGAAUUUUGGACAAUGGGCGCAAGCCUGAUCCAGCAAUGCCGCGUGCAGGAAGAAGGCCUUCGGGUUGUAAACUGCUUUUGUCAGGGAAGAAAUCUUCUGGGUUAAUACCUCGGGAGGAUGACGGUACCUGAAGAAUAAGCACCGGCUAACUACGUGCCAGCCGCCGCGGUAACAC